rnacentral:rRNA from 1 species
AACGAACGCUGGCGGCAGGCCUAACACAUGCAAGUCGAACGCUCGUAGCAAUACGAGAGUGGCAGACGGGUGAGUAACACGUGGGAACCUUCCCUAUGGUUCGGAAUAGCUCAGGGAAACUUGGGGUAAUACCGGAUAAGCCCUUCGGGGAAAGAUUAUCGCCAUUGGAUGGGCCCGCGUCGGAUUAGCUAGUUGGUGAGGUAACGGCUCACCAAGGCAACGAUCCGUAGCUGGUCUGAGAGGAUGAUCAGCCACACUGGGACUGAGACACGGCCCAGACUCCUACGGGAGGCAGCAGUGGGGAAUAUUGGACAAUGGGCGCAAGCCUGAUCCAGCCAUGCCGCGUGAAGUGACGAAGGU